UUUUCCCUUUAGGAGUUUUAGCAAAUAGAUGAUACGAAACUAAAUGAAUUUUCUUUAAAAGAAGAAUUCAAUAUAUUUCAUAACGAGCGUAACCUGCUACAGCCAUGGUAAAUGGCAAGAUCAUCAAGAGCACUCAAAGCGACUCCUCCUGUCAAACAGAUCAAUGCCCCUGAAACCACUCUAACACCCCACGAUUUUGUUUGUGCUCCUUCCGCCGCCGUGGCCUGUGAUUGUAGUGAAGGUGCGGCGGCGGAUCUGCUCUUCAUCAGGGACAUAAUCCUUCGACCCACCAUCUCUUGCUCUCUCUCUCUGUACAGGAAGAUGUCGCAGGGGGAACUUUCAUAUUCGGACC
rnacentral:lncRNA from 1 species